rnacentral:rRNA from 1 species
AAAAGCUCUCAGGGGGUAACAGCUAAUGAAUCAUAGAAUUUUUUAAAAUUCAUGAUGUCGUAAGGGGAAAAUAAUGAUAAUACCUUACUAUGAGUGUCGUCCAAAUCUGGUGCCAGAAGACUCGGUAAGACCAGAGACGCAAACGUUAAUCAUCAUAAACAGGCGUAAAGGGUUUGUAGGCAGCUUUCACCAAACUAUGAUUACAAAAUAAAGUAGUUUAAUUGAAAGCUAGAAUCAAAAAGAGGUUAUAGUGUAUAACGCCUAGAGGAGGGCUGAUAUCCAUAGAUCCUAGGCAGAAUACUCAGGGCGAAGGCCACUCUCCACUACUGAUUGACGCUGAGAAACGAAGGUUAGGGUAGGAAAUAGGAUUAGAUACCCCGGUACUCCUUUCUGUAAACGAUGAAUGGUAGUCAUUAGUUUUAUAACUAGAGACGAAGUUAACACAAUAACCAUUCCGCCUUGUGAGUACUACUGCAAAGUAGAAAACAAAAAAAUUAGUCGGUCUCGAAGCAAACGGAGUGAAGCAUGUUAUUUAAUUCGAUAAUCCGCAGG